AUGUGCUUUUUAUCUGAUUUCUGUUUUACAAACGCUCUGAUCUUUCGAUCUUUACCUCACAUUGACUUGCUCCUGCUCUGUCGUUCUUAUUCUUUUUUUGUCUCUCUCUCUCUAACCGCCUGUCUUUCAUUUAGUGCUGUCAGCAUACUGUCCAUACUUUUUCCUACCCCUGUUUUAGCCGGUAUUGGGUGUAGCUCUAUACGUAGCUCGCUUUCUCUUUCAGGACAGGUGGGGAGGUGUUACCAAGAUAAACGUACAUCUUUAGGGCCAUUUUAUCUGACCUGGUCACUUUUGUCCAAUAUUUUUGUUAAUUUGCUCUUCUGUUUGCGCCGAGAACACUCCGGUAUUGAUGGCAACGCUCUGCAUUUCUUUUCAUCCACAUCUCUUUCUCAUCUGUCCAUCCCCCUACCCCUCUCUCUCUCUCUCUUUUUCCUCUCAUCCUCAAAUUCUCAAACGCUGAAUCAGCUGCUUGGGAACGGACGCUCCCCCUGCCUCUUGGAUCCACACACAAGCUGCCUCUCCCCGGCUACCCAGGGAGAAUGGCAGCCAACUUCCCUAGUGGCAAAAUUAUUAGCUCAUGCUAAUUUAAAGAUCCAGGAAAGGAGCCUGAAGGACAAACAUAAAGAACCGAACACAAUGAGUUGGCCUAAACUGCAAAGAGCUGCCUUGUAAAACCAAAGACUUCAGACAGAAUGAGAAAACAGACAGAGAGAGCUUAAAAGGCAACGAGGGAGAAUGAGACAUAAAAAAGACAAAGCGAGACAAAGGAAGAGUGGAAAGUGAAGGGGGUAAAUGGAAGCUAAUUCUAGUGGUGUGUUGUCUUCUGGCUUCAUUAGCCAUAUUGACAGGCCUGUGAUGAAUUCAUUUUCUCAAGAUUGUCUGCAGCCAACAUUUACACGCUUUCCUCUGUCAUCAGUGGCCACUCCUGUUUUCCUCUCCAACCUUUUCAGUUCAUUUCCUGCCCUUUCUCUAUGAACAAUGAUGCAUAUACCUCCAUUUCUACAAUCGUAAACCACCGUUAUCCUGAUACUGACUGCAUUAAUUCUUGUUUGCUUGUGUUGUCUAAACUGAUUCUGACUGCAAUUGAGUCUCUAAAGCAGUGGUGUCAAACUUACUCUAGGUCCCGGGCCGGACUAAAACUCCUGUAGCAACUGGCAAUUCAGAGAUAGUGUAUGGAUAGUAGGAAAAAUAAAGCCUGACUUAUUGCGUUUCCCUAUAUUAGA
ensembl:lncRNA